rnacentral:rRNA from 1 species
UACGUAGGUGGCGAGCGUUGUCCGGAUUUACUGGGCGUAAAGGGAGCGUAGGCGGACUUUUAAGUGAGAUGUGAAAUACCCAGGCUCAACCUGGGGGCUGCAUUUCAAACUGGAAGUCUAGAGUGCGGGAGAGGAGAGUGGAAUUCCCAGUGUAGUGGUGAAAUACGUAGAGAUUGGGAAGAACACCAGUGGCGAAGGCGGCUAUCUGGACGGUUACUGACGCUAAGACUCGAAAGCGUGGGGAGCAAACAGG